AUGUGUCUUGGCUAAUGUGUCUUGGCUAAUGUGUCUUGGCUAAGGUGUCUUGGCUAAUGUGUCUUGGCUAAGGUGUCUUGGCUAAUGUGUCUCGGCUAAUGUGUCUUGGCUAAGGUGUCUUGGCUAAGGUGUCUUGGCUAAUGUGUCUUGGCUAAUGUGUCUUGGCUAAUGUGUCUUGGCUAAUGUGUCUUGGCUAAGGUGUCUUGGCUAAGGUGUCUUGGCUAAGGUGUCUUGGCUUAUGUGUCUUGGCUAAGGUGUCUUGGCUAAUGUGUCUUGGCUAAUGUGUCUUGGCUAAGGUGUCUUGGCUAAGGUGUCUUGGUUAAUGUGUCUCGGCUAAGGUGUCUUGGCUAAUGUGUCUUGGCUAAGGUGUCUUGGCUAAUGUGUCUUGGCUAAGGUGUCUUGGCUAAGGUGUCUUGGCCAAGGUGUCUUGGCUUAUGUGUCUCGGCUAAGGUGUCUUGGCUAAUGUGUCUUGGCUAAGGUGUCUUGGCUAAGGUGUCUUGGCUAAUGUGUCUUGGCUAAGGUGUCUUGGCUAAGGUGUCUUGGCUAAGGUGUCUUGGCUAAUGUGUCUCGGCUAUGGUGUCUUGGCUAAGGUGUCUUGGCUAAGGUGUCUUGGCUAAGGUGUCUUGGCUAAUGUGUCUUGGCUAAGGUGUCUUGGCUAAGGUGUCUUGGCUAACGUGUCUUGGCUAAGGUGUCUUGGCUAAGGUGUCUUGGCUAAGGUGUCUUGGCUAAGGUGUCUUGGCUAAUGUGUCUCGGCUAAGGUGUCUUGGCUAAGGUGUCUUGGCUAAUGUGUCUUGGCUAAGGUGUCUUGGCUAAUGUGUCUUGGCUAAUGUGUCUUGGCUAAGGUGUCUUGGCUAAGGUGUCUUGGCUAAGGUGUCUUGGCUAAGGUGUCUUGGCUAAUGUGUCUCGGCUAAGGUGUCUUGGCUAAUGUGUCUUGGCUAAGGUGUCUUGGCUAAUGUGUCUUGGCUAAUGUGUCUUGGCUAAGGUGUCUUGGCUAAGGUGUCUUGGCAAAGGUGUCUUGGCUUAUGUGUCUCGGCUAAUGUGUCUUGGCUAAGGUGUCUUGGCUAAUGUGUCUUGGCUAAGGUGUCUUGGCUAAGGUGUCUUGGCUAAGGUGUCUUGGCUAAGGUGUCUUGGCUAAUGUGUCUCGGCUAAGGUGUCUUGGCUAAUGUGUCUUGGCUAAGGUGUCUUGGCUAAUGUGUCUUGGCUAAUGUGUCUUGGCUAAGGUGUCUUGGCUAAUGUGUCUCGGCUAAUGUGUCUUGGCUAAGGUGUCUUGGCUAAGGUGUCUUGGCUAAGGUGUCUAGGCUAAUGUGUCUUGGCUAAUGUGUCUUGGUUAAUGUGUCUUGGCUAAGGUGUCUUGGCUAAGGUGUCUCGGCUAAUGUGUCUUGGCUAAUGUGUCUUGGCUAAGGUGUCUUGGCUAAGGUGUCGUGGCUAAUGUGUCUUGGCUAAUGUGUCUUGGCUAAGGUGUCUUGGCUAAGGUGUCUUGGCUAAGGUGUGUUGGUUAAGGUGUCUAGGCUAAGGUGUCUUUGCUAAUGUGUCUUGGCUAAUGUGUCUUGGCUAAGGUGUCUUGGCUAAGGUGUCUUGGCUAAAGUGUCUCGGCUAAGGUGUCUUGGCUUAGGUGUCUUGGCUAAGGUGUCUCGGCUAAUGUGUCUUGGCUAAUGUGUCUUGGCUAAUGUGUCUUUGCUAAGGUGUCUUGGCUAAGGUGUCUUGGCUAAUGUGUCUUGGCU